rnacentral:rRNA from 1 species
UACGGAGGGUGCAAGCGUUAAUCGGAAUUACUGGGCGUAAAGCGUGCGUAGGCGGUUCGUUAAGUCUGUUGUGAAAGCCCCGGGCUCAACCUGGGAAUGGCAAUGGAUACUGGCGAGCUAGAGUGUGUCAGAGGAUGGUGGAAUUCCCAGUGUAGCGGUGAAAUGCGUAGAGAUCGGGAGGAACAUCAGUGGCGAAGGCGGCCAUCUGGGACAACACUGACGCUGAGGCACGAAAGCGUGGGGAGCAAACAGG